rnacentral:rRNA from 1 species
UACGAAGGGAGCUAGCGUUGUUCGGAAUCACUGGGCGUAAAGCGCACGUAGGCGGCUUUGCAAGUGGCGGGUGAAAUCCCUCGGCUUAACCGAGGAACUGCCUGUCAAACUGCAUGGCUUGAGACCAGGAGAGGUGAGUGGAAUUCCCAGUGUAGCGGUGAAAUGCGUAGAUAUUGGGAGGAACACCAGUGGCGAAGGCGGCUCACUGGACUGGUACUGACGCUGAUGCGCGAAAGCGUGGGGAGCAAACAGG